rnacentral:rRNA from 1 species
AUGCGAUGGUGCCGUGGAGGAUGGAGGCGCGGCUGGCGGCGACGGUGCGGGCGGCCCUCCUCGGCUGGCUCUUCUUCUGCCUCACCGUCGCCAGCGACGUCGCACGCCAACUCAGGAGCAGCGAUCUCUCCGUCUAAGGCCGACCGCGUUCGGCAUGGCCGACGGCGAAGAACCGACUCUGCGUCUACAGAUUGA